CGCCUUGCCAGCCCGCUCAGAACUUAAAGGGAAUUGACGGGGGCCCGCACAAGCGGUGGAGCAUGUGGUUUAAUUCGAUGAUACGCGAGGAACCUUACCUGGGCUCAAAUGUAUGUUGACGUAUUCUGAAAGGGAUACUUCUUCGGACAAUAUACAAGGUGCUGCAUGGUUGUCGUCAGCUCGUGCCGUGAGGUGUCGGGUUAAGUCCCAUAACGAGCGCAACCCCUAUCAUUAGUUGCCAUCAGGUCAAGCUGGGGACUCUAAUGAAACUGCCUACGCAAGUAGUGAGGAAGGUGGGGAUGACGUCAAAUCAGCACGGCCCUUACGUCCAGGGCUACACACGUGCUACAAUGGCCGGUACAAAGGGCAGCUACCUGGUGACAGGAUGCAAAUCUCCAAAGUCGGUCUCAGUUCGGAUCGGAGUCUGCAACCCGACUCCGUGAAGUUGGAUUCGCUAGUAAUCGCGCAUCAGCCAUGGCGCGGUGAAUACGUUCCCGGGCCUU
rnacentral:rRNA from 1 species